AGGCUUAACACAUGCAAGUCGAGGGGCAUCAGGAAGAAAGCUUGCUUUCUUUGCUGGCGACCGGCGCACGGGUGAGUAACACGUAUCCAACCUGCCCUUUACUCGGGGAUAGCCUUUCGAAAGAAGGAUUAAUACCCGAUAGCAUAAUGAUUCCGCAUGGUUUCAUUAUUAAAGGAUUCCGGUAAAGGAUGGGGCUGCGUUCCAUUAGGUUGUUGGUGAGGUAACGGCCCACCAAGCCUUCGAUGGAUAGGGGUUCUGAGAGGAAGGUCCCCCACAUUGGAACUGAGACACGGUCCAAACUCCUACGGGAGGCAGCAGUGAGGAAUAUUGGUCAAUGGGCGCUAGCCUGAACCAGCCAAGUAGCGUGAAGGAUGAAGGCUCUAUGGGUCGUAAACUUCUUUUAUAUAAGAAUAAAGUGCAGUAUGUAUACUGUUUUGUACGUAUUAUAUGAAUAAGGAUCGGCUAACUCCGUGCCAGCAGCCGCGGUAAUACGGAGGAUCCGAGCGUUAUCCGGAUUUAUUGGGUUUAAAGGGAGCGUAGGUGGACUGGUAAGUCAGUUGUGAAAGUUUGCGGCUCAACCGUAAAAUUGCAGUUGAUACUGUCAGUCUUGAGUACAGUAGAGGUGGGCGGAAUUCGUGGUGUAGCGGUGAAAUGCUUAGAUAUCACGAAGAACUCCGAUUGCGAAGGCAGCUCACUGGACUGCAACUGACACUGAUGCUCGAAAGUGUGGGUAUCAAACAGGAUUAGAUACCCUGGUAGUCCACACAGUAAACGAUGAAUACUCGCUGUUUGCGAUAUACAGUAAGCGGCCAAGCGAAAGCAUUAAGUAUUCCACCUGGGGAGUACGCCGGCAACGGUGAAACUCAAAGGAAUUGACGGGGGCCCGCACAAGCGGAGGAACAUGUGGUUUAAUUCGAUGAUACGCGAGGAACCUUACCCGGGCUUAAAUUGCAGUGGAAUGAUGUGGAAACAUGUCAGUGAGCAAUCACCGCUGUGAAGGUGCUGCAUGGUUGUCGUCAGCUCGUGCCGUGAGGUGUCGGCUUAAGUGCCAUAACGAGCGCAACCCUUAUCUUUAGUUACUAACAGGUUAUGCUGAGGACUCUAGAGAGACUGCCGUCGUAAGAUGUGAGGAAGGUGGGGAUGACGUCAAAUCAGCACGGCCCUUACGUCCGGGGCUACACACGUGUUACAAUGGGGGGUACAGAAGGCAGCUAGCGGGUGACCGUAUGCUAAUCCCAAAAUCCUCUCUCAGUUCGGAUCGAAGUCUGCAACCCGACUUCGUGAAGCUGGAUUCGCUAGUAAUCGCGCAUCAGCCACGGCGCGGUGAAUACGUUCCCGGGCCUUGUACACACCGCCCGUCAAGCCAUGGGAGCCGGGGGUACCUGAAGUACGUAACCGCAAGGAUCGUCCUAGGGUAAAACUGGUGACUGGGGCUAAGUC
rnacentral:rRNA from 1 species